rnacentral:tRNA from 1 species
GCGCCUGUGGCGUAGUAUCGCUGAACAGAAAGCGGAAGGUGCAAGUUCGAGUCCUGCCUGGCGCA